CAGUAGGGAAUCUUCCGCAAUGGACGAAAGUCUGACGGAGCAACGCCGCGUGAGUGAUGAAGGUUUUCGGAUCGUAAAGCUCUGUUGUUAGGGAAGAACAAGUGCAAGAGUAACUGCUUGCACCUUGACGGUACCUAACCAGAAAGCCACGGCUAACUACGUGCCAGCAGCCGCGGUAAUACGUAGGUGGCAAGCGUUGUCCGGAAUUAUUGGGCGUAAAGGGCUCGCAGGCGGUUUCUUAAGUCUGAUGUGAAAGCCCCCGGCUCAACCGGGGAGGGUCAUUGGAAACUGGGAAACUUGAGUGCAGAAGAGGAGAGUGGAAUUCCACGUGUAGCGGUGAAAUGCGUAGAGAUG
rnacentral:rRNA from 1 species